rnacentral:lncRNA from 1 species
CGUUUAAAAUAUCAGUUUUAAGUUUUUCUCUUCAUCCUAUCACGUGACUUGAGUCACUUGAUGUUCUAACUUUUACAUCAUAUUUUAUAAGGUGUUGUUAGAUGGAUUGUUUUGUCCCUUAGGGAAUUAAGAAAUUAUUCGGAUAAAAACUAGAAAAUCUUUGAAAGGAGGUGAAGAUCAAGGUAAAUUUAUUUUGUUUCUUACUUUUAUUUUUUAUUUUUAACUUUUAUAUUUCAUUCACAAUGUGGUUUUUAUUUGUUUUAUGGUAUUAUAUAAUAAUCUUUUACACUGCAUAUAUCAGUCAUUUAUCUUAUAUAAUGAAUUGAAUUGAAUUGAAUUGAAUUGAAUUAAAAGACAAAUACCUUCUCUAUCUCACCGAAUAAUUAAAAGACGGAUCUCAGUAAAUAAUAAUAUUGAGAAUGGAAAUGGGGAAUAUGCCAAAGAGACAACAACCUAACCAAAGAGCAGACAACAGCCGAGAAAAUCCCGCACCCACAGGUGGUCCUCAGCUAACUCCUAAAUAAAAUUGUGUACUAGUUCAGUUAAAUGGAUGUCUUACUUAAAAAUUGAAUUGAAUAUAUAGUAAGUAAAGUAAGUAAUUACGCAUUCGUAAAUAAUACACUGCAGUUCAGGCUUAUUUGCCUCUUCAAAUCGUGAAUAUUUGGAGUUGGCAUAAUAUACCUAAGGCUUAAUGUUUCUUUCUAUUUGAAUAUUUCAAGCCUAUACUUGCGGUCUUUGAUAGCAGCGGCGGAUGGAUCCAGUGGUGUACAUUUUUGCGGUAUACAAACCGUUUUAUGGAAUUACCCUCCGCUUGAAAUAUCAUGGAAUCCCACCGGGAUCAUGGUACUUUCUGUCUACAUAUAAUGGUUGAAAACUGUUUACAGCUCUUGCAGAAGUGUGUCGUUGAGUUGCUGUCCUAUCAUAAUCUCUUUUCAUGUAUAUUCUGACUUGUAAUUUGUAAGGCCUUUUUCCUUAAUGCUGAGCAGUCGCUCCCUAAAAAGUUAAAUUCAAAGCAUAAAUUGUACUGUCUGUUAUAUGGGGGUCUCGGUUGGGUUUAUCGAACAGACAAUAAUGGGCCAAAAAAUGAAAAAAACUAAAUUUAAAGAGUAGAGAAUAAAAUAGUAUAAAAAGUUAAAGAAUACCAAAAAAUUAAAUUACGUAAAUAGUGAUACAUUCAGGUUCUUUUUUCCUACCUAUUUAAUGUAUGGCUCAAUCUAUGCAAGGAUUUUUAUAAUCUUAGACAAUAUAAAUCCUUGCUUUAGUAUAUAAGGAUUUGUUUUUGAUUUUUUUUUGGUUAGAUAUUAAAAAGAGAAGUCAUCGAUUCCUGAAUUCAUGCUCAGAUUUAACUUUCACAGUUAACAUGCAUAUUUCAUUCCUGAAAGGAAAAACUGCUACCUCUGCGACCUGCCUUGUCACCAUUGAUCACACAUUAACUGUAAAUAUAUAUUUUUUAUAGAAAAUAACAUAAAAAAUAUGGAUUAGUUUUUAAGGAUAAUUAAUAAUGAAUAAAGGAUGUGAACAGAAUAUAUGUCAGUGAUGGCAGAUUAACGUAAAGACCAAAUACGGAAGCAAAAUAAGAAAAAAAAAAAAGCUUACGAAAAAGAUUGUCUUGAUAGGGAAGCUUAAUAUGUCCGCCAUAAGAUGUCAUUGUCCUUCGGGAAAAUUAGGUUUUUUGGCAGAUCUUUGAUAGUCUAUCAAAUUUAUUCACAACUUUGCUAGGCUCGGGGUAAUGUAGAUCUUGACUAAUUGCUUGUAUGGACAAAUUCUAUUGUGGAUGACGAUAUACUGACGUCUAGAAUUAAAUUUUGUGCCGUUGGGUUGCUGUUCUCAUUGAUGUAAACCACACACAAGUACCUCUUUUAUUCAUAUUUAUUCAGAUUUUAAGUUAAUGCAAAUAAAUCAAGGCGUUAUUUUUUCGUUUGAUUUCUUUUCACAUUUUGUCAUGUUGUUAACUUUUACAGCUGGUUUUACUAUAUGGGUUUUAGUGAUUGUUGAAGGUCAUAAGGUGGCCUACAAUUGCUUAAAACCGACUGCUCGUCCUUUUUUAUUGUAUGGAAAUCUACGAUGUGAAUGACACAUAAGCGUCAUGGAGUUAUUGAUUGAUGAUUGCUUAACGUUCAGUGGCAAACAUUUCAUACAUAUUAAUAAACAAUAUGGGUGAAAUAUUUGUCAAUGGAUAUUAAGAAAUCAGCAAUCAAUCGAAGAUGUAUGAAAUAUUUGCCACUGGACGCAAAGCAAUCAGAAGUCGAUCAAUACAAUUCAUGAAAGCUUUGUGUCAACAUUUAGACGGUUUACAUACGUUCCUUAAAAAGAGAUGAUAUACCAAGGCCGAAGGGACGGAAUAUAUAUGUUCAUUCGGCAAUCCUCGGUAGAAUCCGCUACGGAAUCGGCCGAGUUGAGACGAAUGUAUAUAUGUUGUGCACAUAUUGUAAUGUUGUACAAAUUAUAAUGUGUGUACAGAUUUUUUGUACAAGUUAUCAGUGUUUUAUGAACCGCUUAACACAAAUGGAUCAUGCAAGCACACAGUCUUUUGUUUGGCAAUUUCUAUCAUACUUCCUUGACAACGUGAUACAGAUUGAUAUAAAAACAUUAUAAGAACACAAAAAGACUUUUUAUGGAUAUGAUUUUGGUAUAGGAGAAAAAUAAAACCAUUCAGGUGUCAUCAUUUCCGGUUUGUGGACAAAGAGAAUAGCACUAAAUGUUAGGUUGAAGUAGAUACAUUUAAAUUUAAGACAUUAAACUAAUACAUUUUAGAAGAUAAACUUUUAUCACCUGGUGCAAGAAGAUAUAUAUGUGUCACAAAACUUAUAUAUAUAUGUACAAAAACCCUGUACAUAUUAUAAUUUGUCACGUAAAAACUUACAUCUUGUACACAUCAUAUACACAAUAACACUUGAUACAACAAACUAAAUAUUGGGCUAUAUAAAACCCGUAAAAUACCGGGCAGAAAACCAGGGAGCCAAUUUUCUCUCUCAAAAAAAAGGGGGGAUAUACCAAGGGACAGAAUACAUACACAAAAACACUUUAUACAGAGAACUACAUAUUAUGCUACAUAAACCUGGUAAAUUACCGGACAGUGAAUCAGGGAGUCAACCAGCAAGUACCCCGGAAGGGUUAGUCUGGAAAUAAACAACGAAACGAGACAAUUGCUUUUAGAUCCAACACAUGUAAAUCGGACAUGUUAAACUGCAUGUCUCAAACGAAAUAAACUUCUGCUACUUAAAGAAAAACCACAUAUAUUGAAUUUCAAAAAAGAAUUGUGCUGAAUUAAGGAAGGGUGGUUGAAAACGGAUAUAGAAUCUUAAUAGUAUAGUUAAUAAUGAAGAGAAAUGUAGUAGAAAUGUACAAGUACUUAGAACAUUUUAAGAUUUGUAAGUAGAGGACAAUUAGAGGUUGAAGAGUUAUUUAGUUUUACUAACGAAACAAUUCACUAUCACCCCAAAUUACUGAGAUAGUAGGUCAUCUCAAGGACAGUUCGGACAACAUGGUACAAUAAUCUGGGUCACUGGCGCAUGGGGAAUGGACCUCCCCCCCCCUUUUUUUUUUUGGGGGGGGGUGUUAUAACUUUUGAGCAAAUACUCUGCAAUAGUGAUUUUCACUUUUCACUUAUUUACUGAUCUAUCGGUCCAUACUGUUCCCAGGUCCAUUUGAUACUUCUCGAAAAAUAGUGUUGGUCCAUAUGCGCUUGGGGCCGAAGUACUAUUAUAUUUUUUUGGUGCUUUUGGUUUAUAUUCUGUAAUAGUUAGGUUACUUUCUCUUGUGUAAUAUUUUUACUCUUUCUAUACGAUAUUACAAUUCUAGUAACUGUAGUUUAUUAUUUUCGACCCUCUAUUAUUAUGUUUCGUGUGGACUGUUUUACUCAAUAGACCUAAGUUAAGAUAAUCUGUGAUUACCUUAUAAAAUAAGGAGAGUAUUUCCUAUACUAUCUAAUAAAAUUGAGAAUGGAAAUGGGGAAUGUGUCAAAGAGACAAGAACCCGACCAUAGAAAAAAUCACAACAGCAGAAGGUCACCAAUAGGUCUUCAAUGUAGCGAGAAAUUCCCGCACCCGGAGGCGUCCUUCAGCUGGCCCCUAAACAAAUAUAUACUAGUUCAGUGAUAAGUCAUAAGAUAUCUUAGUUUGCUUUAUCUACUAAAUCCCGCUUGCUUAGCAGAGAAGCAACAAAUACAAAAUUUCACGUCUUUGAUUUGAUCCGGCCUGUAUCAAACCCAUGAUCUCUAGCACCCGAUCAUGCUCAUUUAAGGUGGCACGGUAGUAUUUCCUGGUCCAUAAGGGAUAAUGAUAGCCUUUUUAGAAUUUUCACCACUUUCUAACACUGCAAAAAAUUCUUCAUUCACAGUUAACUGAAGUACUUUCAUUUUACUAUUCAGAAGAGAAUUUAAAUAUGUAUCAUGACCGUUUACUUUUUUUGCUAUUUUCAAAAACCUAAGGCCACUAGUACUUUUAGGUCUUUUAUAGUGCAGUGAAUACAAAAUUAAAAAAAUUAUCAAAAAUUCAUUUUCAUCUGUAUGUAAAAUUAUUUCAUAUUUUCUACACCUGAUUCCUCCCUCAGUUUGGGAAAGUAUGUUCAGUUGAUACUGUAUUUUUUGUCCAAUCACACUGUUUAGAUACAUUUACCUAAGUAGGGUACACAAAAGAGCAACCUAAAUUUUGGAAUGCAAAUACUACCGUGCCACCUUCAAAGAGGAUAGAAAUGUCAAUACACCAUUAAUUGACAUUAUUUAAAGACCAAAGGUUUAUAGACAAUCGCAUAUAAGAAGAUGUUACAUAAAAUGUUAUAAAAAAAGACGGCAUCGUAACCGAGGAAAAGUUUGUAAACACUUUCACUAAAAUUGAUAAUAAUUUCUUCGUUAACAUAAAACUAUCAUAGAUAUUAUUUAUUAACACCAUCAUGUCAAAACAUUGAAUUGUUGCUGUCGGAACCAACACACAGGGUUCAGGCAAUUAUCCAUUGUUUAUUGCGCAUGCACAGUUGCAAUUGCUUUCCUACGUGAAAUUUGGCAGUGGAUGGUAUAUUGAAAUGUCUAUCCUCUUUGAAAUGAACAUGCUUGUUCGCGAGAGGUCGUACGAGGGUUAAAUCCAGGCCAGAUCAAACCAAAGACGUGAAGCAUUUGACGCUUCUCCGCUAAGCUGCGGGAUUAAGUAGUUAUUGUUUUAUAAACAAUAACAACCAAUGAGAUUACAUUGGAAAUACUCUCUACUCUUUUUCUAAGGGAAUCAAAGAUUUUAUUUACUUUGGUCUAAUGGAUAUAAUUUAAACAUUAAAAAAAUAAAUCAAUUGUAAAAGAAAACUUAUUCAUCGAGUUACGAAAAACACUUUAAACACGCUAAUAUAGUACGAAUAAAUGAAUGAAUAUCAAUGGUUCUUUUAGACGUGCUGUAUCAUAGUUCAUCUUUUAAUUUGCAAUUUUGUGUAAAUGCUUAUAUUUAUUGUCUUUAUCAAUGGUUCUUUUAGACGUGCUGUAUCACAGUUCAUCUUUUAAUUUGCAAUUUUGUGUAAAUGCUUAUAUUUAUUGUCUUUAUCAAUGGUUCUUUUAGACGUGCUGUAUCAUAGUUCAUUUUUUAAUUUGCAAUUUUGGGUAAAUGUUUAUAUUUAUUGCCUUUAAGCUUAUUGAAAUGCACAUGUUGUAUUUUACAUUUGCUUCACAUAUUGAACUUAUGACAUGCAUUAGUUUUUCUCUCUGUAACUUAGAGACAAUAUUGUUAUUCCUUUUUAAUUGAAAGCUUCGCUGCAAGGCAUGCAUCAAGAAUGUGUCUAUGGAAUGGAAAGUAAUAAAAUACUGCUUAGAACUUGCAUAGACGUAUUGCUAUGUGUUUCUUUAUUCUAGAUUGGCUAAAGGUAUAGGGUGAGGAUUAAGAUCUCACAUAACAUGUUUAACUCCGCCGCAUGUUUCUGCCUGUCCCAAGUCAGGAGCCUCUGGCUUUUGUUGUGUUUUAUAAUUUAAGUUCACCUAUAUUGGUUUGGAGUAUUUUGUGAAGUCCAUUCUCACUGAACUACAUCCUUUAUUUAGGGGCAAACUGAGAAACAACUCAAAAGGUCUUUCUUUAAAACGUGCAAUUCAGUAAGAUCAAAUUGAAGAUGAAGUUCAUUUCUUUUUAUAUUGUAAUACUGGUGAAAUAUAUAAUAGAAAAAGUUUAUUUUGAUUUUUUGAUAAAUAAGAAUAUCCACUUUAUAAAUUUAAAUGACAUAGAUAAAAUAACAUAUAUACUCAACCCAAUUUCACACAUUCAGGUAAAUAAGCUAGGAUCCUUUUUAAAACAGUCUAUUGGACUGAGGACAGGGGACUCUUAAAAUAUUUACUUUUAUUGUGUAUAUUAAUGAUCUUGUUGUUAUUUUUUAUUUUCAUUUUGUUAUGUUGUGUCACAUACUAUAAAUAUGUAGUUUUAUGGCAAUAAAGAUUUGAAUUGAAUUAAUUUGAAUUGAAUUAAUUUGAAUUGAAUAGUAAGAUCUAGAAGAACAUAUGUUAAUGAAAUGCACUGUAAUCCAAAAUGGCAAAUCACUGUGUGCAAUUUGAAAAAUCGCUGAUCUGUUAUCAAAAUAUGAAAUUUCAGCGAUGUUUUUAUGCGCAUUGUAUUUAUGUUAGACUUAUUUUAGGAAAUAUCUAAAGACCGUGAAUGUAACACUAGAAAUCAAUAAUAGAAAGUAAGUACCAGAAUACACUCAUUAGUCCUUAUUUACUCAGUUCUAUCCUUAAUUGGAUGUAUGUACUAAUCCUAAUUAUUCAAAAUAUUCAUAAGUAAAGUAGAGUAAAUGUAGGCAUCUCAUGCUAAAUUAUUGGUUUUAAUUUCAAAAACCCAGACAUAUAUGAACUAACUGGCCAUUCCUCCCAUCAUUUACAAUGACCACCCAUUUUUUCCUCAGCCAUAAAAAUAAAUAACUUUAAAAAUUAGCAAUAGCCUUUCAUAACACUUGAUUCAAGCGUCGGAUAUAUGUUGAUUUAGUGUUAUGAGACUGUUUGAAAUCUCUUUGUUGUUCGAUAUCUCUUUUCCACAUCGAAAACCAACGGUAAACCCUCAUGGUUAUAACUAUACGUGUUAACUUAUAAAUCAUAUAUCACCCGAGGUCACGCUGUUCACUGAUAUUUGCUGGUCAUUCUUCUCCCGUAAAUUUCAUAACAAACAGCAUAAAGGUCAAAGACUUCAUAUUUCACAUUACAUUAACCUUUUUAGACGAGAAGAUCAGCUGUCCACCGAGCGUCGUACAUAGAUGAAAGGAAAUUUGAUCUUAGUCGAGUCUUGCAACACAUGGGUUGAAAUUGGUCGUUUAUUUUCGGCUACCAUUUAAUUGUUAUUGUGGGACGGGGAGGAGGGUGCUAGGAUGAAAUUUGAAAAAAAAGGCAGGACAGGAGUUUUGUGUAAAAAAGGCAGGAUGAGUAACUUGGCAAAAUAAGUUACACUAUGCAUUUCUCAAAUGAUUUUUCAUCAAAUUUUUUUUUUUUUUUUUUUUUUUUUACAAAUAUUGAAAUUGAGCUGUUUAAAAGUAAUAAUUAAAUAGUUUAAUCUUCUAUAUUGCGUAUUGGAUACUGUUGUCUUUCUUUGGUCGGAUUUAGUGUUUUGGCAUUGUCGGUUUGUUAUCCACUUAUGACUUUUGAUAUUAUUUUUGUAUCUUUCACCUCUCCUUUUUAUACCUUUCCAUAGUUUUCUUAUUUUAAUCGAUACCUCGGACAUCAACAUUAUUUUUCGGUAAUGAAAAUAACAAACUAUUGAUGAAGAUGAAGAUGUGAUAUUAGAAUAAAUUACCUAAGCUGUAUUUGGCUGAUCAUUCUUCUCUUCUAAAAUCAUAACAAACAGAAAAAAGGUCAAAGACUUUCAUCCCAUUAACCUUUUUACACGAGAAAAUCCGCUAUCGAGCGUCGUCUUCGUAUAGAUAAAAGGACAUUGGAUCUUAGUCGAGUCUUUCAACAAAUGGUUAAAGGAUCUACCAUUUGAUUUUAAUGGGGAGGGGAGGGGGAGUGCUAGGUUGAAAUAUGAAAAAGAGGAAGGACAGGAUUAUUAGUUUUAAAAAAAGGCAGGAUAAACAGCAUGAAAAAACAAAAAAGUAACAAAAAACAGGAUGAAAAUUUAUGUAAAAUAAAGUCAGGACCGAAGAGUGAAAAAUAAAUAGGUAAGAAAUUACAAAAACAAAAAAUGCAAGAAAAUUUUUUCCUCCUAGCACCCCCCCCCCCCCCCCCCCCCUCACAUAAAAUCAAAUGUUAACUUCCUUACUGUUCAAUCUUCUAUAUAUAGCGUUUUGGAUACUGUUGUCUGUCUUUGGUCGGUUUUUUGUUUUGCUUUUUUGCAUUGUCAGUUUGUCAUCGACUUAAAAUUAAAAUUUAGAAUGGAAAUGGGGAAUAUGUCAAAGAAACAACAACCUGGCCAAGGAGCAGACAACAGCCGAAGGCCGCCGAUGGGUCUUCAAUACAGCGAGAAAAUCCCGCAUCCGGAGGUGGUCCUCCGCUUGCCCUUAACACAAUUGUGUACUUGUUCAGUGAAAAUGAACGUCAUACUAAACUCCGAAACAUAAUGAACUCAAAUUAAAAAGAUGCAAGACGAUCAGAGGCUCCUGGCUUGAGACUGUUGAUUGUUUAUUUGACGUCAAGUGGCAAAUAGUUCAUGCAUCAAAAACUCAGAUCAUAAACGUUUAUAACCCCAACCAUUCAAUUUAUUUGUUUGCAUUAUUGUUACAUAUUAUCUAUCUUCAGUGAGUUUGUUACAAAAAAUGUUAGAACAGACCAUUGUUUUCAUUUGAUUAAUUUAUUAUUAUCAUAUUUGACAUUAAUCACUGAGUUUUCAGAGGCCUAUAGGACACAUAAGGUUACAUUCAAGUGUUUGAGGCUUUCACACCACUUGAUCUGAAGUGUUUAUAAUAAUAAGUAGUUACGUUUAAAGUGACCAUAGGUUAAAGUUUAACUUUAAGACAAUUCAUUAGAUUUAGUUAUUUACGAUACAUAAGAAUCAUAUUCAAAACAGUGUAGCUGUGGCCAUUGAUUGACAACCUUGAAUUAUCCCAUUGACUGGGGCAGAUUAGGUGAAUGUGUGUCUGUAACGACAACUGCUCACUACUUACUUAUUAUAGAAUUUAAACUGUGGGGUUAACGCCUUUAAUAUUAAAAUAGUUCGAAAAAUUAAUCAGGAAUAACUUUAUGUUUUGAUUUAUAUUAUUGAUAUAAAUCAAAACAUCGUGUUAUUCCUGAUUAGUUUUUCUAAUUUCUUUAUUUAGGUGUUGAGAACCUUUUGUGACCCCACAGUUUAACUGCCUUUAACAAGUACAUAGUGAGCAGCGGUUGUUACAGACAAACGUUCACAUAAUCUGCCCCAGUCAAUGGGAUAACUUAAGGUUGUCAAUCAAUGGCCACAGCUACACUGUUUUGAAUAUGAUUCUAUAAGAAGAUGUGGUAUAAGUGCCAAUGGAAAAACUCCCAAUCCAUGUCACAAUUGGUAAAAGUAAACCAUAAUAGGUCAAUCAAAGUACGGCCUUCAACACGGAUCUUUGGCCCAAACCGAACAGCAAGCUAUAAUUAUAAAAAGCCCAAAACAUGAAACGUGUUUAACAGCAUCCAAACAUGAAAACCAACGGUCUAAAUUAAUCACUAUAAUUAGAAACGAGAAACGAGGAGUAACACGUAUGAACCACAUCAACAAAUGACAACCAAUGAACAACAGGUUCGUGACUUAGGAUAGGGGCAAACAAAUGUAACAGCUUUAAAAGUUGUACACUUUUAGAUCAAAUUUGUUUUAGAGAUUAUAGAGCCUUGUUAUCAAACCCAACCGUCACUAAUUUACGAUUCACUUUGUUUUAGAGAUUAUGGAGCCUUGUUAUCAAAACCAACCGUCACUAAUUUACGAUUCACUUUGUUUUAGAGAUUAUAGAGCCUUGUUAUGGAAGUACACCACUAAUUCAUGGCCCCAUUGCUUUCUAUGUUAAAUUCCUCAACUUCGAGUGGUCAAAUAAAGUGACAAUCAUUGCAUGUCAAAGCAACACCUUCUGGUGUCAUGUACUGAAAAAAUCAACAUACCUUUAAUGGCAUAUAAGAAAGAACUGGUUCCCGGAACUUCGGAUGUACCAAAACAGGUACUUCCGAUCUGACAAAAAGGCAAAAUGUACUCUCCUUUUUAAAUUUCAUGCCAUUUUUUUAUUAUUCAAAUUUAUCAGUCAAAAAUUGUUCUACAAUGAUCACCAGUCAUGCAGCUUUCAUUUGAUACCAAAAUUAAUAAAAUAUUCAACAUAUUUUGAAAGAUAUGUCCACGCGUAGGAACUAUUUUGUGUUAAAUAUAUACUACUUUCUGGUAUGUGCUUUCUGGCCGGGCCCGAAUUAGUGGUGUUACACCUAUAACAAAACCAACCGCCACUUAUUUACGAUUCACUUUGUUUUAGAGAUUAUAGCAUCUUUGUCAAACUAACCUCUCACUCAUAUGUAGUCAAUUUCUUUAUGACACAGUUAAACAUUUUAGAUCAUACCAGCUAAUAUAGCGUUAUAGCAACUAAUUAUUGUUCUGAAAAUAAAAAUGAAAUGGUUCCAACUAAAAGUCCAGCAACCAUUCUAUUUCAACAGUUAGCCAAUAUCGUACCUAAUGAAUAUUAUUCCAGAAAGCGCUGCGUACACAUUUUGUCAAUGAUGUUUUUACAAUCCAUUGAGGCAUCUAUCAUAUUCAUUUUAACAGAUUUUCUGUGCAUGAAUGUUCCCAAUUAUAUAUAUAUCAUAUUGAUGCAGUCUAAACAUUUUUUACUCGAACUAAGUUAAUUGAUAAAAAGAAGAGAAAAUAUCUUUGCUCCAGUUAGUUUUCUGUUUUAUCAUGCAUUGACAUAUAUAUUACUAGUCUUUGAUGUUUAUUGAUUACAAAUGUAGAGAAAGGGCACAUAAAACUGUGUUAACCGCACCACAUUUUAAUCCUGUUCCAAACCCGGCUAUUUAGCAAGUGGUAUGAGGCGGAUAUAAGGGGGAGGUCAGCGGACCUUUAUGGAGCUACAUUUCUCCAUUGUCUUGUGAGGCCUUCCCCUUAUCAAAAUCCGGAAUCUGUACCUGAUUGGUUGUCUUAACUUGAAUAUCUUUUUAUUCUAGAAGAGGCGAAUAAUGGUGCUUAGUAAGGUAUUUUGUAAGGUCAAAAAUGUUUAUUUUUAUUUUGUUAUUCCGGUUAUCCCUUUUGUUAUGUACUAUUGCAUAAAUAAUAAAAUUGAGAAUUGAAAUGAGGCCCCUCAUGGGGGGGGGGUCCUAGUAAUCACAUAAUCACCAUUUUUUUGCCAAUAUAAUCACAUAAUCAUUAAAUAUUUGCUUAUCUUUAGUAAUCAAAUAAUCAUAAACUAAAAAUACAGUCCUAGGUAAUCAAAUAAUCAUGAAAUAUUUGGCUUAAUAAUCAAAUAAUCAUUAAAAAAACGGCCAAGUAAUCACAUAAUCAAAAACCCCAUGAGGGCCCUCUGAAAUGGGGGAAUAUGUGAAAGAGACAACAACACGACCAAAGAUCAGACAACAGCCGAAGGUCACCACUCUUAUCAUAAUUGCGAAUCAAAAACUUUUUUCGAUGUUUCACAACAAUCAAAUACAACUCGUUCAAAUAUACCGUUGAAAAAUAACUAAUAAAAGAUUAUAAAAACCUAUAUGUAUUUUGGACUUUCUUACCUGGUUCCCCCCCAAAAAAACCAACAAGUUUCUUCUGUUGGUUAUGGUUUUACAAUAUAGUCUAUUUACGGUACGCUGUAAAACAAGUCAUUGAUCAUACUUUUUUAAUUGUGUUACAUUUGGGCCUUUAAUUCAAAGCUGACAGUACGGUAUGCGUUUUGCUCAUGAUAAAGGUCGUACGGUAACUUCAUCUGCAUGAAUCCGAGUACUCUAGUAGAUGGUUGUUUCAUUGGCAACUAUGUCACACAUCUAAUUUCAUAUUUGUAGUAAUACUUAAAAAUGCAUGUAUCCCAUUUUUUAAGAGAAAAUUGAAUCACUUUUUACAUAAACAUCAAUCAAUGAAUGGGGGUAUUUUUGAGGAAAUGGUUAAAAUGAUUACCCUAAUUCGCAUUGGGUGCGAUUGAUGUGAAAUCUAUAGAAAUACAUCAUCUGACAACAACUCCUCAACAGUAAUAUACUUCUGGUCACCGUCGUUAUCACUAAUCGUGUAAAGCCAUAUUUGGGUGAUCGGGUGAAAUAUAUACUAUAAUAAUCAAUCUGUUUUCCUUGGACACCCACCAGUUUAUUCGUACGCAACAAAUAGGUCAGACAUAUUGGCUUUUCACAAUCACUGUUUUGCUAGCAGACACAAUGUAUCCUAUAAUGACGCCAUAUACACGACAGCAAAUCGCUCAAAAAUCUGCCAAUCUAGUUCAUGUAAUUUUAUCAAUGAAACAAGAGAUAUAAAAGAGUCAAUUAGCCAGUUCUUUUUUUCCCUACCUUAUAAUGUUCGUAAUACAGAGAAUUUUUAUAAAAUAUCUAAAUGGCACAUUCUUCUGAUAUUUGAGAAACUUGACAACCCAUGCGUUCGCAUUCUUCAAAGACAUUAAAAUAUGUUUUAACACGUCAACGCAAGGCUAAAACAUUGUGUGUCUUAGCAGAAAAUUUUAUUUUUCAGUCUAAUUCAGCCGUUUAAGGCAAAAUAAAAACCACGAGUCAUUAUUGUAUAAAGAAGUCCACUUCAUAUGAGCAGAUUCAGCCAUUUUUAUAAGGGUUGAUUUAUAACAUGCACAUCUUCUAAAAGGGGUUUUGGUUUCCAACUAUUUGUCCCAUACAAAAGCAUUAAUUGUCAAACAAAAACGAGGGUCCCAUCUCCGUAGAACACCCACUGGAUCCGCUACUCUUUAAAUAUGGUUUGAUGUGUUUGAGCUUUUGAUUUUGCCAUUUGAUUACGGACUUUUCUUUUUGAAUUUUCCUCGGAGUUCAGUAUUUUUGUGAUUUUACUUUUAAAGUUGAUUAAUCUAACACAAAUAAAUGGAGAUGUGGGGUAUAGUGAAUGUGACAGCAAACCAACGACAUGCAAACAAAGACAUGUCGGUAGAGGUCAAUAUAAUUAUGGUCAUAAUUAUACAAAAGACAUAAAUUUGCGCCAUUACUUUUUAGAAUUGAAUUUCUGGGUUACAAUGUUUUUGAUUGGUCCUUUUUUAUAUACAUAAAUUCUCUUCACAUCAGAUUGCAUGGAUCUUAACCCUGUCUCAUUCCAUAGUCUUUCCUUCUAAGUUUUACAACAAAAUUUCAAGAAAAUAUAAAUGACGUAUUUUUGCUCAACCAUAAAUUUUUGCACGACUCCUCAUUACAUACAAAUGUAAUUGUCUUUUGCACGACGUGACGUUCGUACAAUUCACGACAAAUUCUUUAUGAAAAUAUAAACGACAUAAUUUUUCUCAACCAUAAACUUUCGCACGACUCCUCAUAGCGUCUUUAGCCCGUCAUGACGUUUCAAAGUAGUUACUUCUUCAGACGCAACCAGAAAUCUGGUACAGUAUUCUUGCUAAUUAUUUUGCAGAAAGUUAUUUCAAAAUGGCUUAUAUAUAUCUUUUAUGAUUCGUCUGAAAGUUAGGAAUGUCGUCUUCAAGUCGUAUAUUUUCAUAGGUCACACCAAUUAGACAUAUAAUCAGUCUACCAUGAAGUGUCAGCGAUGACGUAAGAAAUUUAUCAUUUUCAGAAUAAGAGUACAUCAUCAUGGAUUCGUUCACGAUUUUGUUUCUUAUUUGUCGCGAAAUAAAAUGAAAAUUUAAAAAUACUGUAACAUUUUAAAUAUUUUAAUCGACGAACAAAUUAAGCCGAAUUACAGCAAGGUUGACCAGGGGCGGACCUAAGGUCCAAAGGGAAGGGAUUGUGAAAUUGUCAAAUAGUAAAAAAAAAUGACGAUUUUUGCAAAAAAAACGAAAGAUGUUUUACGAUAAAAAGGGGGGAGGGGACGAACACGAAGGGCCCCUUGGAAUCACCACUGUUCUUUGUCAUACAAUUGCACGAGGUGGGAAAGGAUCCUUAUUUUCAAUAGAAAAAGACAAAUUUUUCACUUCCAUUUUGAAACAAAUGUCUUUUAACAAGAAAGUUUUAAAAAAAAACUUGUAUCAUAUUCUACACAUUCAAGACAAUUGAUACUUAUUAGAUCCGGAUGCUGUACAUUAGUCAGUUAUAGUGGCGGAUUCAGGGAUAAAACGUCCCGUAUCAAAAAUCUGAACUAGCCCCUGAGUCUAUGAAAAAUUUCGAUAAUCAUACGUUUAUAGAAUAAAUUAUAUGGAGCACACUGUAUAUGUAUUAACUCAUGUAAACUGGCCUAUAUAAUGAUCCAGAUAUCAACUUUAACUAGACUUAGUUUAAUUUCACAAUAUAAUGUGUACAAUCGUUCUAUUUUACCCUUUUUAAUAACUACCAUUUACAUUAGACUAUUAUUAUGGAAUGCCUUGCAUUUUUAUAUAGAUGUAUAUUUUUGUAUAAAACCUGUUAAAGUCAUAAAGUCCGUAAAAUGCUACUGGUUUUGUUCAAAUCGUGAUUUGCAAAAUUUUUUAUACAGAAUUUUGCACAUGGACAUACUUAAAUUAUAAACUAGCCACUUGAUGUAUUCCAUUAAUGAUACAAGAAGCCCCUUUGAUACGGCUUGAUCAUGUAUACUUUAUAACUGGUAAAAUGAUUUAUUUUAAGAUGAAAGAAAUUACAACUUUUUACUUACAGUUCAGACUAUGUUUAUUUGAAAAAGCAUUGAAAAAAAAAAAGAAAAGAUAAUAUGUUACUUAUAAAAAAAAAUCUAUCUUACAGACGUCAGGAUUUUGAAAAAGGGGAGGUUACACCGUCCCGUUGUCAUUCCCUGUUUUAUUUAUAUUAUAUACAUAUAAUAUAUAAAGUGCCUAGAAAAUCAACCUAAUAUAUAUAGAUUGCCUAACAAUGUAAUUUUAACACACUAUUUAGUAUGUAAAUAUAAGAAUGUUUAAAAUAUUUACAAAAUGAUGAAAAUAAACGCAAUAUUUCGCUAGACCAACUAGCUUUAUCAAGCGUGCAUCUAUCUAGAUGAAAUAGGAUGUAGAUGAUAAGAAACUUUUGCAACUCAAUGUCUAUGUUGCACUUGAAUUUAGCUGCCUUGAAAAUGAGAAAAUUUUGCAGCUCAAUGUAUAUGUUGCACUUGGAUUUAGCUGCCUUGAAAAUACUUGGUAGUUGAAGUUAGCAACGUCCAUUGGCCAAUGUUACGGGAUAAAAAGAACGAUGCUUUGUUUUAAAUUAUUCUUUAUCUUUCCUGUAUCUUUUCUCGUCUUUUUCGUUAAGACCAUCAGGUUCUAAAGUGUGGAGUUGGUGGAUCCAAAAGUUUUCUCUUCUCCUUCUCGCUGUGGUGUCCCAUUCUAUAAUUUGGAAAGUGACAUUAUCAAAAGAAUGUUUUGUGUCACAUGUCAAAUAUGUAUAUAUUCAAAACAGUUUUGACGAUUUUAGUCUAAAAUGGUAAACAUAAAAGAAUUUGGACGCUUUAAAAUUGAGAAUGGAAAUGGGGAAUGUGCCAAAGAGACAACAACCCGACCAUAGAGCAGACAACAGCAGAAGGUCACCAACAGGUCUUCAAUGCAACAAGAAAUUCCCGCACCCGGAGGCGUCCUUCAGCUGGCCCCUAAACAAAUAUAUACUAGUUCAGUGAUAAUGAACGCCAUACUAAACUCCAAAUUGUACACAAGAAACUAAAAGUUAAGAUAAUACAAGACUAACAAAGGCCAGAGGCUCCUGACUUGGGACAGACGCAAAAAUGCGGUGGGGUUAAACAUGUUUGUGGUCUAAUUUCAAAUAUUAUUAUAAAACAGCCAAAUGAACCGUUUCCCUCAUUAAAAGUUUCAUUGCCAGACGACAUGUUACCCUACAUGUAGUAUAUACCCUACUCAACCCUUGGUGUUACUUAUUACAGUAGUUCAAGGGAACCUUUCAACCUUGCUUAGUACGAAUUUUAAGUACUAUUUUCUUGUGGAUGCUGCAGUAAUUGUAUGUGUAAUUAAUGAUUUUGUGGUUAUAACGUACCAAAUGUACUGCAUUAAUCUUCACACAAACGAGGUUAACAAUCUCCCUUUUUUCUUUGUGGUAAAUUAGUUUAGCUUGUAGCACAUGGUUAAUUAUUUUUUACUUGUAAAAAAUGUAAUAUAGAGAAGAAAGCGCACUGAUAUAAAACAUAGCUACAGUUUAAUCAUGUCCCUUUAACUCGAAUAAUACAGCGCCCGCUAAAUGCGUUCAGUGUCCCCGAGUCCUUGUAGUGACCACAGUGAUUGGAAUAUAAAAUAAUUUUGUCGAAAACGUCCAAGGUUGGAGUGGACACAGAAGGGACAAUGAAUCUGGAAAGACAAUUUAUUAUUUUGUUAUCCGUCCUAUUUCUCAUCUCGAAGAUACGAAUAUUAUCAUAUAAGUUUGAAUGAGGAUUGUCAUGAAUCCGUAUAGCUUUCUAUAUAACGGGAAAUGGUCCAUUGUUUAUCUAGUUCUUAAAACUCUAUGAAAUAUUUGCCACUGCACGUUAAUUAACAAAAAAUCAAUUGAUUUUUCAUCUUGCUCUCCUUUUUAAUCUUGCAUUCUCUGGAAAUAUUCUUUAGAUAAAUAGCCAAUUUGGUUGUGUUUAUUAUUAAAAAUAGAACACCACACAAUCUAACCCUCUUUUGAUCUGAUUACCCUUCCGGAGCACCUGAUACCACCCCUAGUGUUUGGUGGGGUUCGUGUUGCUUUUUCUUUAGUUUUCUUUGUUGUGUCAUGUGUACUAUUGUUUGUCUGUUUGUCUCUUUCAUUUUAUGCCAUGGCGUUGUCAGUUUAUUUUCGAUUUAUGAGUUUGACUGUCCCUCUGGUAUCUUUCGUCCCUCUUUUAUACCAAUGUGUUCUCAGCAUUUUUCCGAUUUUCUUUGGUUGUCACUUGCUUUAACUUGUGAACGUUUGUGUUUGUUGUACAAAAUGUGUCAUCAGCUGAAUUACCUGAUAAGUCAUUACCUUCAUAAUAAUGUAAACCCAUCAAAUUGCCUCGCAACACUUUAAACUAAAAUGCGUUCUUUAUAUUGAUCUUUUUGUACUUUGAAUAAAAGACGACCUUUAACACCUAUGUCGCAUAGCUCCUGGACUUAUUCACGACUUAUCAUCUUUUAUGUACACUUAUGCAAGGUAUUUGCACAACCAUUUAAAUCAAGUAUAAAAAGUCACAUUAUCUGAUACUAUAAUAUGCACGUAGUUAUAUUUUUGCAACCUUGGUAUUACAGUGAAACCGAAUCCUGCAUACACCGAAAACCUUUAUAAACCAAACAUGUUCUUAAGCACUAUCAUAUCAAUUUAUAUGUGUUGUUAACCUGAUAAAAAUGAACAUCGGCCCAACACGAACACAAUGUUAAGUCCCGAAGAGGUUCAGUUUAAAUAUGUUUCACUGUAUAUUCUUUUUUGGAUCCCACAAAAAGCUUUAAAAGGGUUUUUUUUUUUCUUUUUUUUUAAACUCAAAGGAGAAAGAGGUAAGCUUGAGUUCGAUCCGUGGCAUGUACAUGUAUAUUAAAAUAAAGAUUUUCAAAAGUAGCAUUUGCCUCUUAUCCCCUAAGCAUACGGCAUUUUAAAACUAAAACACAGGUAGACUCACAGUGAGGGAAAAUGUGUCCGAUCGAAAUGUCGGGUCUUUUUUCAAUUUUUGCAUCUGUAUUGCUAUGACCAACACUGUUUUUUCAUGUGUUUUACAAUAAAGAAAGAUAUUCAUAAUAGUUUUCAUAUUCAUAUCAUUUUGACAUGUUUUCAUCCUAAUAUGCAUGUAAUAUCAGCCACUGGACGUAACACGUUGUCGUCAUUUGCCUGUAUACAAUGUGUGACAAACAUAUGUGAUAUGAGGUAUUACACACGAAAAACAUGUAAACUAAUGUAUAGUGAAAUGCAAUUUCAAUUAGAUAUUUUAUUACAGUGAUUUUAAAUCAAGCAAACAUGUCCCAGGAAUAGAUUGCCUUAGUCGUAUUUUGCACAACUUAUUGGAAUUUUGGAUCCUCAAUGCUCUUCAACUUUGUACUUGUUUGGCUUUAUAACCAUUUUGAUAUGAGCGUCACUGAUGAGUCUUAUGUAGACGAAACGCCCGUCUGGCGUACUAAAAUAUAUAAUCCUGGUACCUUUGAUAAUUAUAUUAUCACAAUAUAUAAGAAUACAUAAAUGCACAUACUUUUUGUAAUAAUUCAUACCUUUUCAAACAAAUACUCUUGAAGUUUUCUAAAGGGAAUGCCAUUUAAGUAUUUAAGCUUUUUUUCAUAGACUGGCUUCUUCCUCUUGAAGUUUGGUCGUCUACAAAACAACCAAGAACAAAAAAUAACACGAUUAAUUAAAGUCCACAUGCAAGUACGUCAUGAAAGCGUGCUUAAAAAUCUAUUUCUGAUUACCAGAAGGUAAACGGUACAAGCCAAAACAGCUGCCUAUUCGAUAUUAAAGAGAUAUAAUUAUUUCUUUAAUUCUAGAUCAAAUUUUUCUGAUACACAUAUUUUUUUCUGCGAUCUUUGAAGGAACCCCACAUCAAAGUAGCUAGCACUUUUAUCACCUAUUAAACUGUCUUUGUAAUUGAUCUAUACAUAAUGUUUUUCAUUUUUUCUCGGUUAUAUACUUGACUUUGUUUUUGUGCUGAUGAAGGCGAAAAUAUCUGUGCUUUUGGGAAAUUCUCAUAUUUUUUAAACAAAACUUAUUUUAGUUUUAUUCUGAAUCUUGUAAUACUGAAACAGUCUAUUGUAGUUCGUAAGUUGCGAAUGUAUGGUGGAAUACGGCACAUCUUUCUGAUUUCGUAUUUCUAAUGCAUCUACGCCAAACAAAAUUCGGUCAUUUUUCGUGUAUGUGUUUAAUCAUACGGUUGUUUUCAUAGUUUCAUUUUUUAACAUCUCGAUAUAGUUCUGUCUAUUUUUUUUAUUUUUUAUUUUACAUUUAAAUGAAACUCGUAAAGGAGACGGACGGUUAUAUGUAAUUUACUUGAUUCCGAAUCCCUACAUUUUCAGUUGUAAAUAUAUUUGAUAAUUCUUGCACUUUAAAAAUUGAAAAUGUUGUUUAAACUUAUCUCGUACGCUCAAUUGAAUUUGAAACCCUUUAAUUUUCGAAUUAUUAAUGAGCUCGAAUAGUGAAUAUAUAAGUACAAAUUAUGGUUGGUUUAUGAAGGACAAAACAGUAUUACAUUACCCCCCACCUUUAAUUAUUUGGACCUCAAAUCCAAUAAUAUAUGUACACUGUAUAAUUUCGUAUGAAUACAUUGAAAUAAAGAAAAAACAAAAACAAUGCAGUUUUUAUUUUACAUAAAUACUAAAUUUCUCGCUAUAGAUUAAUCGUCAAAAUUGGUGAACAGUUGUGUCAAAAAAAAAAAAAAAAAAAGAAAGUUAAAUACAUUUUUUUCUUUACAAAUAGCAAUGUCAUAUUAGAACUUAAAUAUUGGUCUUGUCAUUUUACUUCAAUCUUAAAUAUCUUAUAAUAUGCUAAUAUGCCUUGGCCUUUGACGUAGACGAUUUUUUAUUUGUUUUGUAUUACAUCUAAUUACAAUUCUAGAACUAAAGAAUAUAAACUUUUCUCAAAUUAAGUGUGCAUUUAACAUAUAGAUGUAAGAUAAAUUUCAUACUGAUUUUCUAAAAGCUAUCCACUAAAUUUAUUUGAAAAACACUGUAUGCCAUUCCACGCUUUUGAUAUGACUUGAAUAUGUUGGCACCCCAAUUGAAGAAUGGUCGGAACCGCCACUUCAAUUUGCUGUCUGUUUGCAGAUUCUUUGCAUAUGUCGGAAAAUUCGGUUGUUGGUGGUUUGUGCUGUCUGACCUACAUUUUUGAUAUCGAUUUAUUUCAUGUAUGACAUACAAAAUUUAUUUUGAAAAUGAGACGUCUUUCGUUACACAAAGAAAAUAUUCGACCUCAAUUAGAUGACGAAAUCCUUGACUGACGUAUCAUUACGUUGGCAAAAUCCUAUAUAAUUGUUACAGUUUCCAUGAGAGCGCUCAGACGAAAAGAUAAAUAUGAUAUAAUAGAUUUACCCAAAAAAUUGAUAAGAAAGAACGCAAUUUACAGGAUAGUUAAUAUGCCGACUCAGCAAAAUUUCCGUCAAAUGAAUGAAACGUUGAACCCCUUGGUGCAUAAUUAAAACAAGAUUUACGAAUGAUUGUCUUCAUUUGCAAAUUGAUAACUUUAGCAGAUUUUUAACGCUGUCAUGGGGUGAUCUUUAAUCACAAGAAAUUCCUUAAUGGUUUGGUGAUCACAAAUUGGCAGCCAUUGACAUAAAAAAUACUAUAAUUGAAAUGCAACGUGUUUAACGAUAUUUCAACCAAUUAUAUAAGAGUAAAAGAAAAUGUAUAGUAUGCAUGUACGUCAAUGAGACAAUACAACAGACAAAAAAUUGACCUCGAUAUUUGUUUUCUCAAGGUCAAAUUAACGAGUUAUGACUGGCACGUGUCCAGGUUUUCUAUGAGAAAUCGAACUCGAUCGAACUUGUGUAAAAUAAUAAUUGAUAUAACAAUAAGGAGAUGUGACAUGAUUGCCAAUAAGACAACUAUAUACUAAAGUUUAAAUAAAGUGAUUGGAAGCACUUAUAGGCAACCAUACAGCCUUCAACGAUGAUAAAUGAUAUAGAAGAACCUAAAGUCGGCCAUAAAAGGCAUCGACUAGAUAAUAUAUGAAACAGUUCAAUGGAGUAAGCUUACGACCUAAUAUUUAACAAUGCAAUUUUCGAGAAACAAAUAUGACAACAAAAACCAAAGACGACACCUAAACUACAGGCUCUUGAUUUUGGAAAGACAAAUACAGAAUGUGGUGGUGUUAAACAUGUUUUUAAACGCUGAACCCUCUCUUCACUUGAGACAGUAGAUAAACUCAUCAUAGAUACCAGGAUUAAAUUUUGUAUAUACGCCAGACGCGCGUUUCGUCUACAAAAGACUCAUCAGUGACACUCGAAUCCAAAAAAAAUUUAAAAGGGCCAAAUAAAGUACGAAGUUGAAGAGCAUUGAGUACCAAAAUUCCUAAUAGUUUUGUCAAAUACAGCUAAGGGAAUCUAUGCCUGAGGUAGAAAAGCCUUAGUAUUUCAAAAAUUCUAAAUUUUGUAAACAGUUAAUUUAUAAAUAUAACCGUAUCAAUGAUAAUUCAUGUCAGCACAAAAGUGCUGACUACUGGGCUGGUGAUACCCUCGGGGAAAUAAAUCUCCACCAGCAGUGGCAUCGACCCAGUGGUUGUAAAUAAACUCAUCAUAGAUACCAGGACUAAAUUUUGCUUAUACGCCAGACGCAUAUAGAAGUACAACACAGCAUAAGAACACUUGGAAGUCCUAUCUGAAAUUAAAUUAGAUUCAACCACUCGUUGAAUGUCAAUCAAGCGAUAUACUUUUAGAGGUAUAUUGUACCUUCAUAGCAUAUAGUUUUUAUAUCAGUAAAUAUACAUACAUUUUUGUAAAUUCGAAUCGCACACCAAAUUUAAGGGUAAACAACAGAAAAAAGUAUGCGUCAUUUAGACAGCAACGUAACAAAGCGAAAAACAAAUAUAUAUCUUGUUCAACGAUAGACAAAUGUAAAAUGCACUAAAUCUUCUAAAUCGUAUUUAGUCUAUUUAGUCUAUAAAAUUGCGAAUAAAAACUGACCAUCAAAUUCCAAGUCAAUGAAAAAGCAUUAAGGUGGUACCUAACACUAGGGAUAGUAAGGAAAUAAUUAUAUACAGUUAAAACAAAAGAUUAUCGGCAUUAAGUUAGAGAGAUUACUUUUCCAUAAAAAAAUCACUUUAGAUUGUUCAAUUCGGACAAAAAAUAAAAAAUACACAGUUAUUUUUAGAUGAUAAAAGUAAAGGUAUUUUGGGAUCAUAUGGGCAAUUUUACAGAUAUCCAAUUUUAGGACAUUUUACUAGUAUGCCAUUCUUCAAUCAUAGGUCAAAUAUAGGAAAUUUUUACUGUUUUUGCAACUAGUUAGAUAGAUAACCGAUAUUCUGAAGUUUCUUGGAUGAAACAUUUAUGGUGAAUUAAAUCUGAAGUCUCAAAAGUUGAACUUUUCUGUUUUUUUUGCCAAAAAUGUGCACUUUUAGACAUGCGAAAUUGCCAUUUUUUGGCAUACAACCCUUUAGUACAUGAUUUCUUUUGCAUCAAAGUAUAUAAAACCGGCAUCAUUUCAAGUAUUGCUUUUAUUUGAAGUGAAAAAUUUAGUCUCGAUUCCAAAAUAUUAUUGAAAAUUUUUUUUUUUGUGAUUUAUCACUAAAAAUUGUAUAAAAAUUGCCAUUUUUACAGAAAAAUUAAUAUUUUUUUUUUCAAAUUUUUUUUUUAGUAAUUAAUGUUUCAUAUGAUAUUAUUUCCAAUAUGUUGUGAAUACUAAAUGAAUAUAGAAUUGAAAAAAUGAUUAAAAUCAUGUUUUUGUGUUACCAUGGCAACCAAUUUAAUGCAAAAUUUUAAAAUAAUAAUUGAAAAUGCAUAUUUUCCCGGAACAAACCAUAUUUGUUUAUUAAUGUUCUACAAGUAUUAAGAUACAUAUGACACGUUGACUCGGCUGUAUUGGGUGACUCAAAUUCAGAAAGAAAGAACAAAGCAGGUUACAAGGGUAUCAAUAGUAGCAGGGAUCACGAUGGAAGUUGAUAUAAUUGUCUUUCAAUAAGCCAAUAAAAACUUAUUAAAGAAAACAGAAAUACCAGUGAAAAAAACUAUAGAGAUAAGGACAAUGCACCUUUUUUCUGUUCUGCCAUUACAUGAGUAUAGUUACACAUGUUUUAGAUUUGACAAACAGUGAUGUUGGCAUACAAAUUGAAAAUGUUAAGGUGGUACCUAACACUACAGGGAGAUAACUCUGUAAAAUCAGCUAAACUUUUUAAUUACGUUGCGUUGUUAAGAGAAUAUUAAGCUUCUCAAUGAUCAAAACUAGUGUUUGUCAAACUGCUAUAUAACCAGUGUAUUUUUCUGAUAAAAUGGUUGGUUCAAAUUUUUUGAAAUUUUUAUAUUUUUGUCAAAGGGUCAAAGUAAAUACUUUGUAAAAAUUUUAUGAAAAUUAAACGAGCCAAAUUGAUUUUAGUGAAAGUGUUAGGUACCACCUUAAGCUGUCUGUGAGACACACAUGAUGCCCCGUCGUCUAACAAACUAAAAAUGUCAAAGUCCAAACACCAGGCCAUGCACACCUCAACUAUGUGUUUGAACAUCCUGCAAAAUGUUUAAGCUGUAUGUCAAACACUGUAGGAUGAGAUAGCCGGAAAAUCAACGAUCUCUUUAUACAUCUUGUACAAAAAAAGCUACCUGUCUUAUUUAGAAUAUUUGAAAGAAAACAAAAUCCUGUGAUCUUGCACACCUUCAUGAUGUGUAUGAUCAUCCUACAAAAUAUUAAAGUUGUACUUCCAAAACUGUAGGAAGAGGAAAUCUAUGUAUCUAAAUAUGGACAGACGGACGGACGGACAGACAGGGGUAAAUUGAUAUGCACAGAGACAUUUUGUCACAGGGACAUACAUUUUUCACAGGGGCAUGAAAAUGCAACAAUUUAUUAUUGAGUUUGUUACAAUAGAUAAAGAUGUUAUGGCUUUAUAUAAGCAGUCGAUACUAGUAUCUAUGAAUGUUGAUAACACCUAUAAUAUAAAUCUGACAUGCUCCUUAAGUUUCUUGUUAAUCUUUCUCAUUGGAAAACUACCACAUCUCCUUAUUUUAUAGGUUACAGAAAAUAAAAGUAUUAUAUAUGUAAAAUAUGUAAUAUCUUAGACGAUGAAUUCCAUUUUUUCUUUAACUGUAAACAUGUAAAAAAAUAAAUAAAAAUAAAAGAGAAAUCUUUCUAAAAUAUUAUAUACAAAAAUAUGUAAAUUUUAAUACACUUAAUUUUACUGAUAAACUGGUGAUUAUACUAAAUCCAUCAACACCAAAUGAUGUAAAAGCAGUUGUUUCUUUUUAUAAAGAGUCGUUAGAACUGAGGAAAGGAGAACAUUAACUGUUUUUAUCAUAUCUCUUAUAAUAUUGUCGAGUUUUCAUUAUGUUUGAUCAUGUUUGUUUUGUCAAUGUAUUUGCCAUAACCAAAAUUGGUUUUGUCUGUUUUGCAAAUAAAGAUUCAUUCAUAUAAGUUUGGCAGAGAGACGCAUUUAAGCAUUUAAAAUAUAUUCUUCUUCAAAACCACUUUCAACUCUCAACAGUUUUCUUUUGAUCAAAAACAUAUUUUCUUGCUUCUCUAUAAGAAAUUGUAUACUUCUUUCAUUGGAUACUAAGUUCAUUGUUAGCAUUACAAGCUAAUAGCAUAUUGUUUUCAUGAUUUAGAGUUUAAACAAUCUGUAGAUCCAAUUUCAAUUUUUUAAUACUGAUCAUUAAUUUUGCCUAAUUUUAGUUGAGAUCUAUAUAUGAUUGUGAAACUAAAUUUCACUAUCUUCAUAAAAUUGUCCUUAACUGUGUCACCUCGUAUGAUUUCAUUCAAAGAUAAUGAGAAGUUUUCAUAGUAAGUUGAAAUUUGAAAACCCAGAAAGUGUUGCAUCCAAAUGUAGUGUGUUUGAUGUUUGACUGUGUAACAAUAUUUAUUAAAUUUGCAUUUUGAGAGUAAGUUAUAAUUCAAAAUAAUUCUUCGAAAUCAGAAAUAAUUUUAAUUCAUCAGAAAUGCUUUAGUACUGAGUGAAUAGUUUGACCGAUAUUCUUAACUCUUACACAAAAGAAUGCAAGUCUUGAACAAUUUGACGGACAGCUGGAAGAUACUUCACAUCCGAAAAUUUAUCAAUUGAAAUUUUUCACCAAGAAGAAAAAAUACCUGUUCUGUCAAACAAGCAAUGUUCCUUUUUCUUGCGGAAACUUUUUAGUGGGUAUAUCAGUUGAUAUUGUUUCGAGUCGUUUUGUUUAUAUGUCGCGCAUGAUUUCAUGAGUUUAAAUUUCCAAAUCCUGAUACCAUAAAUCUUAUUAAAAUUAGUUCUCCGCACUUGCUACUCGUUCUUUAAAAUUUAUAUGUGGUUUGUGAUAUAUAAACCAAAAGAGUAAGUGCAGAAAAAUAUUUUUUAUCAGAUUGUGAGUCUAUAUUUUGUAUUUCCAAUUAUAGGCUAAUUCUAAAUCUUCAAGUUUGAAGUGAGGUCAAAUGUGCUUGUAAAAUUCCAUUAUAGUAUAGUGCCUGGACAUAACGUGAACAUGGACAAGAAAGUCCCACUUAGGACAUAAUGUUUUUUUCAGUCUGUGAAUCUGUUAGUCUGUCGGUCCGUCUCUCUGUUCGUCUGUCCUACUUUAGGUUAAAGUUUUUUUUUGUCUUCAAGUUGAAAGUUUCUCGUCCUUGUAGUUUUCGAUGAAGUUGAAGUUCAAUCAACUUGAAACUUAGUACACAUGUUUCCUCUGAUAUGAUCUCUCUUAUUUUUAUGUCAAAUUAGAGAUUUAACCCUAAUUUCACGGUCUGCUAAGCAUAGAAAAUGAUUGUGCGGAAGGGGCAUCCAUGUACUAUGUACACAUUUUUGUUUGUAGUAUGUCAUAGAGUAUUUGUACAUGUAUGCACAAUAUACCAAUAGACCUAAGAAAAAAAUUACAAUGUUCUAGUUACUUCGAUCGUCAAUGAUCAAAUAUAGUAGAUGUCUAACUCUUUUGGUCUUGGAUUGCUGCCAUUUAUUAUUAACACUGAUUUUUUUUUGAUUUUUUUUAUUUCUGUAUGACUACAAGCAAUAAUGCCUCUGAUUAUUUACUAUAAAUAGCGUGAACAGGUUUUUCAUUUUUACUUAGUUAAUAAUUGUGUAAUACGGUUUUCAUUAUUUACAAAGUAGAUUUUACUGUAUUCUAUCGCAGAAUAUUUUAUUUCGCCGUUAAGAAGGUGCGUGCAGAAGUUUCAUUUUUUUCCCUAGAUUUAACAUAGAAUGAAACUGGUUCCACUUUUUUUUACCAUGCAUGUGAAUAGCCUUCAGAUUUGUAGCUAAAAAUAAAUCAAAGUGUGGGGAUCGAGUUGCUAGCAUAAAAAUCGCUAUAUAACAACUCAUCUAGGUUUUCAGAUUUCUAGGAUGCCUGAAUAUUUGAAUAUUGACAAGGACAUACUGAUAGGACACGUUAUUUUUUUUAUUAUUUCUAUAAUUUUGUUUUGCUGGAUAGUUGUAAUGAGGGGGGGGGGUAAGGACCUUUAUCGGGACUCCGGGAUCGGGUGUUUUUUAGCUCGGGAUUUCGGGAUCCGGGAAUUCUUUUUUCGAAUUUCGGGAUGUCAGGAUUUAAAUUUAUUUAAAUUCCGGACCUCGGGAUAUCGUGUUUUUAAGCCAGGGAUUUCGGGAUAAGGAUCCCUCUUACCCCCUCAUGUAAUGUGUUGCUCUUUGGAUAUUAUUUUUAUUCAUAUGGAAAUUGACAUGUCUUAGAUUCGAUUUAGUUCAUAUAGUAUAUAUUCUUUUUCAUCAUUGAAAUUAGAGAACUUUCUCAUCAUGAAUAUUGAUUUUAAAAAUGUUAUUGUGUGUUGUUUUGCCCAGUAUUCUUUAUAUUUCAACACCAUAUUAUUACCAAAACCCAUCUUUAUUCUUUAUUCUGUAAAACCGAUCUGAACGAUGUAACGUAAGAAUAUGUUCAUAGUUUAUUGUAAAUUGUAUCAUUGUUUUGCCGUAUAUUCUUCUCUUGUCGACAACUAUUAUGUUACCGUGUAAGUUAUAUCUGUUUGUUAUUUUCCAUGCUAUUAUUUCAGAUGAUUUAAUUUUAGAGCAUCUGUUGAUUUUUAGAAAAUCGAACUAAUCUAUUUUUAUCGCACUUUACGUUCUAGAAAUUAACCCCAGGUGUGUACGUGCUACUUUUUAAAAAAUAUUAUUUCAAACAUUUUUUCAACUCAGUAUUCUACGCGAAUAUUGUGCAAAGAUUAAUCAGUUAUUGUUUGUGCGGAAUAUGCAUAUAAUUUAUAUUAAUUACCAGGAAGCGUGCUGCAAAGAAGCAAAGUGUCAAUGACACUGAUACUCCAGCCGGCGACGUUCUCAACGUUUUCGAAAAUCCCUUUUGAUGUCUUCUUUGCAAUCUUUGGGAUGUUUUCGGGGUAGGUGGUAGACGAAAGAGAGAUUGAGACAUGAUAGUGCUAUUAGGUAAAUGUUUUGAAUUUUACGAUGAUGCCGGUUUCAAUUUAAGAGCUUCAAGAAAAAAUUAGUAAAAUUUUGUUCGAAAAGUUUGAUUUUGAAUAAAAUACACUUUUAAUACGAUCUACUUCUGGAAACCUAUAUAACAUGAAAAUUUUGAAUCUCUACUUUCGUUUUCAUACUUUGUUGAAAUACCUAGUACCCUACCACCUAUCCCGGUUUUGCAUUCUUUCCAGACAUGAUAAAAAUACCGGCGACGUCGGCAGUCAAAAUAAACGUCAUUUGCGCUAUUUCUUCCGGCUCAUGUUUUAUUAGGAAGAAAUUUUAUUGCUUUACAACAAAUAAUAUGCAUCUGUUUAUACAGAAUUUAAAUCUGCUAUUCAUUAGCUUUCUUUAUAUUCUAAAUUUAACUAGUAAAAAUGAACAAAACAAUAAGAAAAUACUUGUUUUUUAUUAUUAUGAAAUGGAGAAAAAUGACUUGUCUAAGAAAAUUUUGAUACCUUGCUAUCCCUACUAACACUACAGGGAGAUAACUCUUUAAAAUCAGCUAAACGUUUUAAUUACGUUGUGUUGUUAAGGGAAUAUUAAACUUCUCAAUGAUCAAAAUAAGUGUUUGUCAAACUGCUAUAGAUAUAACCAGUGUAAUUUUUCUGAUAAAAUGGUUGGUUCAAAGUUUUUGAAAUUUUUAUAUUUUUGUCAAAGGGUCAAAGUAAAUACUUUGUCCAUAUUUUAUGAAAAUUAAACGAGCCAAAUUAAUUUUAGUGAAAGUGUUGGGUACCACCUUAAGACUUAUGUAAACUUUCUGUGAUAUUCUUUAUUUUGAUAAAAAUGCGUUAUUUCGGAAAAGGCCUUCAAUUUUCUGAUAGUCAUGAUCAAUGUAGCUGAUGUUUAUAGUCAUUAUUAUGUUCACGUGAAAAUUGACUAUUCAAAACCCGCAUUUUUCUAUUAAUAGCAAAUGCCAACGACAGCAGUCUGAUAUAAUGGAUUUUUCGAUUGAAAUUAGAUCAGUAAAAAUACUAUUUACUUAGACAUUAUGAACCUUUUAUAAAUGAUAUUGACAUUCGUAAUAAAUUACUCAAUUUGCAAAUACCACUUCUUCUCACGAACAAUUUCUUCUCGGUUUUCCACUCAUUUUUUUUCAUGAAACCACACAGUUACACAUAGACAAAUAAUGCUUGAUUUAUUAUAAUGUUUUGUUUCAGACACAUAUACAUGAUAUAGUCGCCCUUAACAACGAUGUUUUUCUAAUUUACAAAAGUUUAGGGUGAACAAACGUAAUAAUGCACGGAAAAAGCAUGUAAACAAUUAUAAAAAAAUACACAAUGAUGAAUGUGAGAAUAUUUUCAAGCUGUGUAAUUGCAAAGAGUUGAAUGGUUUGUGACAAGUAUUAGCUUUGAAAAUCUAAAAAUAAAGGAACAAAUGAUUUGAGGGCAAUACCCUUUCGUCUUCUUCAAAAAAGACAAAACAAUGCAGUAUUCAAAGCAGACAAACACACGAUCGAAAUCCCCCUAAAAAUAAGGAGCCUUAUUCGUUCAUUUAUAUGUUUUGGGUUUUAGUGUUCACCGAACUAGCACACAGUUUUAUUUAGGGGCCAGCUGAGGACCAACUCCGGGUGCAGGAGCUAAUAAAUGUAUUUAUAAUUAUUGAAUGCUUCUUUUUGUGUUUUCAUAGGGGUGUAAAAGCGUUGACCAUGCGCACAUUUUUAGAAUGAAUCGCUUCCGCGCUUCUUACAAAAUGUACUUCGGUCAACGCUUUUACACCCCAAUGAAGUUUAUACACAAAGAAGCAUUCAAUUCUUAAAUAAUAAGUAGUGAAACUUAUAUAUAAUAAGAGCUAUCAUAAUUAAAGCAAUUGCAAUUAAUAACUCCGGAAAUACAGAAAUGUAAGUACGUCACAUUUUAAAGUAUCAAAUUCUUAAAUAAUUCUAUGGACUGAAAUAAAACCAGUGCCCUCAUAUUUUCAACGUAUUUCAUUUCAAGUACAUUCAAAAGUAUAUUUCGUCAUACCACUCUUUGACAUUGAACUUGAUUUAUGUCUGAGUACAUGAAGCUUGCAUACUUAAUAUUUAUAUUUGGCUCUGACCAUUUGUUUAGGUGUGGGUUUUUUUUUGAGGGAGAAGGGGAUGGGGAAUGGAAUGUUCGAUUCUGAAUUACUUGAUAUUUUGUUUCAGAAAGGAGAUGGAAAAAUAAAUUCUAUCAAAAAUUAUUUAAAAAAGCAACAUUGUUUUCAAAAAGUCCCAUUAUUUUUGGUGUUUGUUUCAUGCCAAGCUAUCUCGAUCAUGCAUCUCUUCGUCGUUGUUUGUCUUUUUGUGAACAUCUAUAUGUAUUUUCUCGGAGGAUUUUUAUGUUUAACCCAAAUGGCCAAGGGUAAGCCAAUUUCAAUGUUACAGAAAUCGAUAUGCUUCUAGCCUAUAACGUAUAACAUUCGAAUAGAUAUUUCUCUCAAUUAAAAACUAUAGUUAUCAACAUCUAUAUUUCACGUAAUACAAUCAAUUACCAGAUGAUGCGAAAAUUUGGGAAUCCAAUAGAUGAUUAGAAAUACAAAAAAAAAAGAGAGAUAGAAGCCGUUUAAAAGCCGUCUUUCUGAUAUUUUCGGAUUCGAGAAUUCCGAAAAUCAGCAAAUCUAUUUGGCGUACUUUGAUCAAGGGAAAUAAACGAUAUCAAAUUGUACGAAAAGUGCAUUUGUUUUUGAACUAGAACCUUGAGAUGAGUGCCAUUUGCAACACAAAUAAAUAAUUUGAUUAAAAUACUUAAGCGUAAGUGAUAGCUUUCUAAAAUAUCACAUAGAAGUUAUGUAAGAGAAUGAGUUAUCUUAUGAUGGCACUUAGGAAGUCCUUCACUUAUAAUAAUUAUAUAAUUGAAGCAUCUCUAGAUAUUUAUUUACAUCUUUUUCUAGCAAUGUAAUUAGAUUUGUUACACAAAUAAAAACGUGGAAUAUUUGGGACAUUGCUAGCAAUUACCUUACACAGUUUUAGCAGGAAAAAUGGAGAGAACGCUGAGGAAACGAUUGUAUGAUAAUAUCUUAUCAACCAGGAAAGGGGGUGUCGUCCUCCACGUCUCCUGAAUCUAAUGCAUUUUUUUUAUUAGUCUUUUGUUUUUUUUCAUUGACCAUGCAUGGCGUUCACUGUCGUAUGAACCAAGUUCAUGUCUAUGUUUUUUGGUUUGGUUUAUGGUGCGAUCAUAAUCUUAAGAUCUAUAUUUUUUACAAUUGGUGCAUUGUUUUUUUUAGUCUCAAUUCUAUUUACAAAUGUACCAUAGUGUUGUUUAUCAACUUGUGACAUUUUUUACUCUUGUAGAAAUUGUUCCCUAGAUUGGCAGAAACCAGCAAAGUCUGG